GAUGAACGCUGGCGGCGUGCCUAAUACAUGCAAGUCGAGCGAACGGACGAGAAGCUUGCUUCUCUGAUGUUAGCGGCGGACGGGUGAGUAACACGUGGAUAACCUACCUAUAAGACUGGGAUAACUUCGGGAAACCGGAGCUAAUACCGGAUAAUAUUUUGAACCGCAUGGUUCAAAAGUGAAAGACGGUCUUGCUGUCACUUAUAGAUGGAUCCGCGCUGCAUUAGCUAGUUGGUAAGGUAACAGCUUACCAAGGCAACGAUGCAUAGCCGACCUGAGAGGGUGAUCGGCCACACUGGAACUGAGACACGGUCCAGACUCCUACGGGAGGCAGCAGUAGGGAAUCUUCCGCAAUGGGCGAAAGCCUGACGGAGCAACGCCGCGUGAGUGAUGAAGGUCUUCGGAUCGUAAAACUCUGUUAUUAGGGAAGAACAUAUGUGUAAGUAACUGUGCACAUCUUGACGGUACCUAAUCAGAAAGCCACGGCUAACUACGUG
rnacentral:rRNA from 1 species